GCCUGGUUAGCUCAAUCGGUAGAGCGUGAGACUCUUACGCACUGUCAGAAGAUUGAUCCAAUCGCGAUCUCAAGGUCGCGGGUUCGACCCCCGCAUCGGGCU
rnacentral:tRNA from 1 species